rnacentral:tRNA from 1 species
CAGACAUAGUUCAGUGGUAGAACAUUAGCCUUCCAAGCUAACUAUGCGGGUUCGAUUCCCGUUGUCUG